CUCCUUUGACGUUAGCGGCGGACGGGUGAGUAACACGUGGGUAACCUACCUAUAAGACUGGGAUAACUUCGGGAAACCGGAGCUAAUACCGGAUAAUAUUUCGAACCGCAUGGUUCGAUAGUGAAAGGUGGUUUUGCUAUCACUUAUAGAUGGACCCGCGCCGUAUUAGCUAGUUGGUAAGGUAACGGCUUACCAAGGCGACGAUACGUAGCCGACCUGAGAGGGUGAUCGGCCACACUGGAACUGAGACACGGUCCAGACUCCUACGGGAGGCAGCAGAU
rnacentral:rRNA from 1 species